UACGGAGGGAGCUAGCGUUGUUCGGAUAUACUGGGCGUAAAGCGCACGUAGGCGGCGCAGCAAGUCAGGGGUGAAAUCCCGGAGCUCAACUCCGGAACUGCCUUGAAACUGCAGUGCUAGAAUCCUGGAGAGGCGAGUGGAAUUCCGAGUGUAGAGGUGAAAUUCGUAGAUAUUCGGAAGAACACCAGUGGCGAAGGCGACUCGCUGGACAGGUAUUGACGCUGAGGUGCGAAAGCGUGGGGAGCAAACA
rnacentral:rRNA from 1 species